GCAGAUUAUGAAAUAGUCACGAAAUGUAUUGAUUAGUGUACAUGGACACAAAUUUAAUUUUUUUUUUUGUGAUGGUCAGCAUAAAAUCAAUUUGUAUGUAAUCCACAUAAUUGUGAACCGGGAAAUAUAGAGAGCGGCGAACACCACGUUGGGAGGAGGGCGGAGUGGAAUGGUGGGUCAAAAAACACAGGACAUUUGCUCAGGAAACUGGUGUUCUUGUCCCGCGUGAAACCAGAAGUCAGAGUUGAUUUUUUUGUCACGUAACUUCCGUACUUAAGUUACAUCGUUUCUGGAAUUAUUUUAACCCAAACCGCAAUAUUUUCCUAAACCUAACUAAGUAGUUUUAUGAAAUGACUAGAGCGGAAAUUGAAAUGUGCGUCACGUGUUACUGGACAUUCAUAAGAAAAGGCACAACAAAUGCGUUGUUGAAAGUCGUGCUGAGCGUCACG